UAUUGCACAAUGGAGGAAACUCUGAUGCGGCGACGCCGCGUGAGGGAUGAAGUAUUUCGGUAUGUAAACUUCUAUCAGCAGGGAAGAAAAUGACGGUACCUGACUAAGAAGCCACGGCCAACCACGUGCCCGCAGCCGCGGUAAUACGUAGGGGGCAAGCGUUAUCCGGAUUUACUGGGUGUAUAGGGAGCGUAGACGGCACGGCAAGCCAGAUGUGAAAGCCCGGGGCUCAACCCCGGGACUGCAUUUGGAACUGCUGAGCUAGAGUGUCGGAGAGGCAAGUGGAAUUCCUAGUGUAGCGGUGAAAUGCGUAGAUAUUAGGAGGAACACCAGUGGCGAAGGCGGCUUGCUGGACGAUGACUGACGUUGAGGCUCGAAAGCGUGGGGAGCAAACAGG
rnacentral:rRNA from 1 species